AUUGAACGCUGGCGGCAGGCCUAACACAUGCAAGUCGAGCGAGAGGCGGACGGGGGAGUAAUGUCGGGGAAACUGCCUGAUGGAGGGGGAUAACUACGGGAAACGGUAGCUAAUACCGCAUAACAUCAGAUGUGCCCAGAUGGGAUUAGCUAGUGGGUGGGGUAAAGGCUCACCAAGGCGACGAUCCCUAGCUGGUCUGAGAGGAUGACCAGCCACACUGGAACUGAGACACGGUCCAGACUCCUACGGGAGGCAGCAGUGGGGAAUAUUGCACAAUGGGCGCAAGCCUGAUGCAGCCAUGCCGCGUGUGUGAAGAAGGCCUUCGGGUUGUAAAGCACUUUCAGCGAGGAGGCGUUACUCGCAGAAGAAGCACCGGCUAACUCCGUGCCAGCAGCCGCGGUAAUUC
rnacentral:rRNA from 1 species